AUGACAUCUCCACCGGUUACUCUUGUCUUUGUCGAAGCAUUUAAGCGCCCCUUCCCAACCUAAAGCGCGAAACUUAGCAAACAUCCCGAACUGGCCAAAUUGGGGCUCAUCAACUUCUUUCUCACAAAUAAACGCGGCUGCCUUGUUUUUCAACUUAUUCAUGCAAUCAUUGUAAAGUGUUGGCUGCCAAAUCUCGGGUUGAUCAUCCAAAGACCCCGAGUUCCAUACCGGCUUUUCACUCGGGUCUAACUCCAUCUCUUCUUCGCCUUCACUUUCGCUUUCACUAACCCUACCCAUAUAUUGCCUCUUUCUUGGUGGUUGCUCCUUUUGUUUGCCCUUGCCUUUUGAUGAAGACGAACUUGAACCCGCUUGUUCCUUUGUCCUAGCCAUUUCCUACACACAUGAGACAAGCAACAAAAGCAAACACCAAAUUAAACCCUCUCUUCAAAAUCAUCCCCACACUUGCUUGUUAUCAUGGUUGUAGAUGUUAGUGAACCAAAAGUAUCUCAAAAAUUUUUCAAAAAUUGGGCAUGGUGUCUCUACAAUGUAGAACAUCCCAAAAGUUCACUACUUUAACCACAAAUCCUACAUCUACAACCAAAACCAUGUUCAAAUAAGCAAUUUCAUACUCAUAUCUAAGAACAAGCAAGUGGGCAUGAACAAGUAACCUAAAUCCCUUACUUUUCACAAUGUAGCACCAAAAUAUAACAAAAUAAGCUUUCAUACCUUGUUUAAAGAUGGAAGAGUGCUUGUGAAACCAAAAACUCCAAAACCCCCAAAUUAUCUCGAAUUAGGGUUUCGAAUUCGGACCCCACAAUUGCGUUUUUUCUGAAAUCUCUCCUCACAAUCAACAAGCUUGUGAAAAAUUAGUCAAGUUAGACCAAGAUUUCACUUGAUUUGGACAGGGAUUUGGUUAGUUAUGGAGGAUGGAAGAUUUGGGAAGAAGAAGAAGAUUUGGGGAGUUGUGGUGGGACUUGAGAAGAAGAAGAUGAUUGUAAAGUGAAAGAGAAUGGGUGGAUGGGGUUAUCUUCACGUGACCAGAUUUCGUUUUUAUUUUUUUUUAUAUACGAGCGGACCCCCAAUCGACGGAAACCAAAAUUCUGCGCACCGUAAUUUACGGUCUCACCGUAAAUUACGGUGAGACCUGAACAUCAAAACUGCACCGUAACACAGUAGAGUUUUACCGUAAAGCUCAACUUAUUUCAACCACCACCGUAAAUUACGGCCAUACCGUAAUUUACGGUGCUUACUGGGCAGUUUUGGUUCUCCAAAAUUCGAGUUUUUAUGUAAAACCUUUUUAGAUUUUUUAACUUUUUUCGAUUUUUUUAUGUUUUUUAAUUUUUUCAAAAACUUGUAAAAAUUACCCUACCCCCUCAAAAAUCCCGUGUUGUCCUCAACACAAUGUAAGAGCAAUUCGUGACCCGAACAUCCCCACACUUGUUUCGAACACGGUCUUCGAGGAACUAUGGCAAUUGUGCAAUUA
rnacentral:lncRNA from 1 species